UACGAAGGGGGCUAGCGUUGCUCGGAAUCACUGGACGUAAAGCGCACGUAGGCGGAUCGCUAAGUCAGGGGUGAAAUCCUGGAGCUCAACUCCAGAACUGCCCUUGAUACUGGCGAUCUCGAGUCCGGGAGAGGUGAGUGGAACUGCGAGUGUAGAGGUGAAAUUCGUAGAUAUUCGCAAGAACACCAGUGGCGAAGGCGGCUCACUGGCCCGGUACUGACGCUGAGGUGCGAAAGCGUGGGGAGCAAACAGG
rnacentral:rRNA from 1 species